CCUACGGGAGGCUGCAGUCGAGAAUCAUUCACAAUGGGGGAAACCCUGAUGGGGCGACGCCGCGUGGGGGAAUGAAGGUCUCCGGAUUGUAAACCCCUGUCAUGUGGGAGCAAAUUAAAAAGAUAGUACCACAAGAGGAAGAGACGGCUAACUCUGUGCCAGCAGCCGCGGUAAUACAGAGGUCUCAAGCGUUGUUCGGAAUCACUGGGCGUAAAGCGUGCGUAGGCUGUUUCGUAAGUCGUGUGUGAAAGGCGCGGGCUCAACCCGCGGACGGCACAUGAUACUGCGAGACUAGAGUAAUGGAGGGGGAACCGGAAUUCUCGGUGUAGCAGUGAAAUGCGUAGAUAUCGAGAGGAACACUCGUGGCGAAGGCGGGUUCCUGGACAUUAACUGACGCUGAGGCACGAAGGCCAGGGGAGCGAAAAGGAUUAGAUACCCCUGUAGUC
rnacentral:rRNA from 1 species